CUGAGCUUUGCAAGUUGCCCAAUCACAAUUUUCAGCAUUACAGGCAUAUUCCCCAUCUCUGUUUUAAUUAGGAAACCCAUCUGCUGAUAUUAGGACAGAUAUUGGCUGGCUUCCUUAGGCUUCAUGUUAGGUGUAGGGUUAGUGUUUGUUUGAGAUAGUUUAGGGUUAAGGUUAGGGGUAGCGCUAAUUACCAAAUAUUAAUUUAGAUCCUAGAGAUUGCAUUUAACUCAUGUUCAGUCUAUCGCCAAAUUCUGCUGCUUCCACCUCAAAAACAUUGCGCGCAUCCGACCCUACUUAACUCCAGAUGUGACUAAGGAGCUGGUCCAUUCCACUGUCCUUUCUCGUCUUGACUACUGUAAUCCGCUUCUCAGUGGUCUUACGUGCUCACAACUUGCCCCAUUGCCG